rnacentral:rRNA from 1 species
UACGUAGGAUCCAAGCGUUAUCCGGAUUUAUUGGGUUUAAAGGGUGCGUAGGCGGCUUAUUAAGUCAGGGGUGAAAGACGGUGGCUCAACCAUCGCAGUGCCCUUGAUACUGAUGAGCUUGAAUACACUUGAGGUAGGCGGAAUGUGACAAGUAGCGGUGAAAUGCAUAGAUAUGUCACAGAACACCAAUUGCGAAGGCAGCUUACUAAGGUGCAAUUGACGCUGAGGCACGAAAGCGUGGGGAUCAAACAGG